GUAAGAAGUUUUUGUCUUGACUUGAUAGUAAGAAUUUUUUAAAGCAAUUUAUUUCCAUUACUUCUUAGUUACCAACAUCAUCAAAUUAAAAUACAGUGUACUUACUGAAUUAUAUUUUUGGAGAUAUUUUUUCCCUUUAUGUGCCUCUGAGUUUCUAUUUUUAUUAAUUUGUGUCCGUGUGUGUUUAUGUGUAUUUGUGUGUGCGCGCACGCGCGUGCGUGUGUGUGCGUGUGUGUGUUUAUGCGCAUGCGUGCGCGCGUGCGCACAUACUCGGGUGCGCAUGUGUCUGUGUAGAUUAGGGGACCACUUAUAGGCAUCUCUUCUCUUUUUCUUUCAGGUAAGUCCCAGGGAUCCAGCUCAGGGUGUCCGUCUUGUUGAGCCAUCUCUCACAGCUCUAAGUUUGUAAUUUUAAUUGAACAAUCUCAUCUCUUUCAUCUUAGAAAAGUCAUUAAAUCACUUAAGAAACUUAGAGGAUUAUAGAUUUAUAAGCAGACAAUUUACUCUAGUAAGACACUGUGACAUUUGAGGCCAUGUUCUGCCAUUCACCCUGGCAUUCAACUUCUGGCAGGAGAGAGAGGAAGCUUGGCUUUCCCGUGGGCAUCAGGUAGCCUGUUUUGAAGAAAACGUCUUUCCGCGGGAGUGUUCCCGCACUCUGGGAAAGCCAUCUGCUAAAGUUAUCAAGGUGUGGAAAACACCCCCACGCUGAACUAGGAUUCAACCUCGACUCGGCAUCUGGAAGCUUCCCACUAAGUCUGUUAGUUCAGUAACAAGCCGCAGGCAUUUGCUGCCCAACAGGUGCAAACCAGCUCCGGGGAGCCACGGAGAAGAACUUGGUCCAUGCUUCUCAGCCCAGGACACUGGGGUGUGUUUACACAGUUAGGUACCGGUGGUCACGGCUUAUUUCUGAGGGAUAAAAGAACAAGUGGGAGACAUAAAUAAAGAGCAUGUUGACAUGA